rnacentral:rRNA from 1 species
UGUGUAGGUGGUUGUAUUAGUCUUUUGUUAAAGACCGGGGCUCAACCCCGGGAAUGCGAAGGAAACGGUACGACUAGAGGAUGUGAGAGGUGUGCGGAACUCAUGGUGUAGGGGUGAAAUCCGUUGAUAUCAUGGGGAACACCAAAGGCGAAGGCAGCACACUGGCACAUUCCUGACACUGAGACACGAAAGCGUGGGUAGCGAACAGGAUUAGAUACCCUGGUAGUC